CAAUGUCCAUUGGUUUAUUGAAGAGCUUCAUGUACUUAACUUGUCAAACAAUGCUUUCACUGGCCACAUCCCAUCAAGAAUGGCAAACCUAAGAGAGCUCGAAUCGCUGGAUGUUUCUCUAAACAAGCUUUCAGGAGAAAUUCCACAAGAGUUAGGGAAACUCUCAUACCUUGCAUACAUGAACUUCUCCCAUAACCAGCUUGUAGGUCUUGUACCAGGAGGUACUCAGUUUCAAACACAGCCUUGCUCCUCUUUCGCGGACAACCCGGGACUUUUUCGCCCUUCACUUGAGAAAAUUUGUGUAGAUAUCCACAAGAAAACAUCACAACAAUCAGAAAUGCCAAAUCCAAGAGAAGAUGAAGAAGAGAUUAUAAGUUGGACAGCAGCUGCAAUUGGAUUCAUACCUGGCAUUUCCUUUGGAUUGAUGUUGGGAUACAUAUUGGUUUCUUACAGACCAGAGUGGUUCAUGAACCCUUUUGGCCGAAAGAAACGCAGAAGCACAAGCACCAC
rnacentral:lncRNA from 1 species